UGGGGAAUAUUGCGCAAUGGGCGAAAGCCUGACGCAGCGACGCCGCGUGUGGGAGGAAGCCUUUCGGGGUGUAAACCACUGUCAGAGGGGAAGAACGGCGCCGGCCCGAAUACGGUCGGCGAUUGACGGUACCUUCAGAGGAAGCGCCGGAUAACUCCGUGCCAGCAGCCGCGGUAAGACGGAGGGCGCAAGCGUUGUUCGGAAUUACUGGGCGUAAAGGGCGGGCAGGCGGUCUGCUAAGUCUUCUGUGAAAAUCCGGGGCUCAACCCCGCGAAAUGCAGUAGAUACUGGCAGACUAGAGACCGGUAGAGGCUAGCGGAAUUCCUGGUGUAGCGGUGGAAUGCGUAGAUAUCAGGAAGAACACCUGUGGCGAAGGCGGCUAGCUGGGCCGGAUCUGACGCUCAUCCGCGAAAGCGUGGGGAGCAAACAGGAUUAGAUACCCCCGUAGUCC
rnacentral:rRNA from 1 species